AUGGCCUCAAAAACUGCAACCUGCAUUUCAAAAUCACACAACUCAAACCGCACAUGUUUAUGUUCACCCACCUCACAUCCUGGAUCUUUCAGGUGCAGUUUGCACAGAAAUUCCAAUAAGCAGCACCCCAUUAUCAGUAAUCCUGCAUUUGUUGUUAAACCAAAUUCCAUUAAGGGGUGCCUGCUCCUUCAGCUCAUCAAGCCCUCCAGCCAUGAUCUUCAAAGGAGAAGAAAGUUCCAGCCCAGGCCUACCAGAUUCUGUUUAAUGAAUAACACCAGAAAUCAGCUUGCAGUUUCUUGA
rnacentral:lncRNA from 1 species